rnacentral:tmRNA from 1 species
GGGGGCGAUAGGUUUCGACAGGGAUAAGAGAGGUAAGAACAGCGAGUCGAGGUUCCAUGUCCUCGUAAAACCGUGGAAAAACAUUAAUUGCUAACAACGAACAAUUAGCAUUUGCAGCCUAAUUAGGCUGCACGUCUGUAAUGGUCUUGUGUCUACGAGACCUUUAUGGGUGUAACAAAAGUAGACUAUCUUUUACCUUACUGCCCUGGGAGGUAGAAGAGAAAAUUAAGGGCUGGCUCAAUUUACAUCGCCUCCACCA